CUCUCUCUCUCUCUCUCUCUCUCUCUCUCUCUCUCUCUCUCUCUCUCUCUCUCUCUCUCUUUCUAUCUCUGUCUGUCUCUAUCUCACCGUUCGUACGACCGUGCACGUAAACGAAUCCCGGGAAAAAAAACACAAAUACCAAACGAAAUACGCGGGCGCGACGUCAAGCCGACGAUUUACACUUUCGUUUUCCGUAAUUUACGCUUUCAUUUUUUCCGCGCUCUUUCACGCGCGCUCGCCACUCCCGCGUCCCGGCAUGUUCCCGCGCGCGCAUUAAUCGGAACGACGAACGAUUGCGACUGCAAUUUAACCGACGACUCAUCAUGUUCCUUCAUGGAGUGCUUGAUUCCAAAAAAAAACGAAAAACAAAAACGAUAACAAUAACAACAACGAUAAAACGAAACGAACGAUGCGCAUUAAACACAUUGAAAAAAAAAACCAAACAAUGUAUGAAACAAAUUCGAUUUCACUAUCGUACAUGUACCUGGAUGCUCCGAGGGCACGCUCCAUCGCGUGUCUCCUUUGAUCUGGUGCCUUCUCUCCACUGAAUUCAACCGACUGUGGUAAUGAACGACCACCAAAACAAAAAAAAAAAAAUACUACCGAUACUUGAAAAAAAUAUACCGUACGAACACUGCCUCGUUUGCUGCAUGUGGAUCGCCUUAGCAGCCUUAGCCACUGUCGGGGCCCAAGUGGUCCCCCAAAACGCUCACUGUGUCGUCUACACAGACAGCUGCGGACAGGUAGACUCAUUAUUGUAACCAGUUUUUUAUCCGGUCUCGAGUUUGCAUCAGAAGCGCCGGUCGAGCGAGACCGGUUGAGGGGAUGUUUUAGCGUGCACGCGCGAAAUCGUCGUGCCGGGAGCGACUCUGCUCGACUGUCGAUUUCCUGAAGAUCCCGGGGGGAUCAUGUAUUACCGCCUGGUUCGCCCGGAUCAAGUUUCAGGAAGUCAGCCAGGGUCUUCAUUCUUGCAUUCCGUUCUCCUUGAGAAGAUUGCGCGAAUUACUUUACGCGUGUUGCUCAACACUUGUCUAUCUGUCUGUCUCUCUCUAUCUCUCUUUCUCUUUUCCUGUCACGACUCCAGCCGAUAAUUCUCUCAGACUCGAGAAGCUACAAGUCACACGGCGCUUUGAUGCAAGCUCGAACUUUUAUUGCUGCUAACCUUCAAGGUUAACGGGGGAGAAGGAUGUAUCGGGUGUCGCUCUGUGGGUCCUCAGCUUCCUCGCUGUCGCAGAUAGCGAGGACGAACUAUUCAUUUGUGUCGCGAUCGACCGAAAAGAGCGAGCCGUUCGGUAAUCUGCAUCUCUCGGUAACUUUGGCUAACACGUAGCUUUUGGGGGCAUCUCCCUCACGACUGCUCACCGCAACUAUAACUGCGAAUAACCACUGCCUUAUCUGGUGUUUGUCUAUUAUUAUUAUACCAAUAAUUAUUAUUAUGCUAUUUCGAAAGCGUUGUCGUCACCUCCGCCCCAGCCCCCAACCCCUUCACACGUUACAUGCAGAGACACGAUACAGGAACGAUACAUACACACGUAUACAUUCGCCAUACACGUACAUCACGUCACAAACUUAUUCACGAAGAAAGAGAUGCACGCUUCUUAUACAGUAAUUAGUAUGAUUAGUACUUUUGCCAUGUAUCUACAUAUAUAUAUAUAUAUAUAUAUAUAUAUAUAUAUAUACAUAUAUAUAUUAUUAUUAUUAUUAUUAUAUCUAUCAUGCCAUUGUCUUGAACCGCUUGUCUGAUUAACGUUGCGCGUUAUUUGUGGAUGAGGAUAUAUUGUCGGGAUGUAUUUUAAACAUUUCUUUGUAUACGUUACGACUGAAUCUAAUGCUACGUCUGAGAGCAACUUCCAUCCUUGUACCGCUUCAGUAUAUCUAUUUGUUUAUUUUUUUUUCUUACUCUCGCAGUGCAUCUUACCGCAAGUAGCAAUUACGAUAUGGACAGCUGUUACGAGUGUCGGGCGUGUAUACUGCAUGCUCAUUAAUAUUACACCGCUGUUGACACGAAGGGAGCGCGUGUCAUGCAACCAGGGAGCACGAACUUCACUUUCGGAUCAAAUGCGAGGAGAUUCUUGAAAACGCAAUUUUUCCCUCGUGCCUCUUCUCGCUCGUGUUUGCAAUAACGGUCGAUACGUUGUGUGAAUUUACGGCUCUCGCGUCGCCCUAUAUAUAAUAUAUAAUAUUGCGCGGGCUCUGUCUCGCGCCAAAUAUCAUUUGGAAUACAUUAUCCGACAGUUUGAAAAGUUCUCUCUCACUUUCCCAUCGAUGAAUCGUCUUGAUCGUUUUUCACACAAAAGCCAUUCGACUGGCUGGCCGGCGAUCGCGUCGCGCGAAACUUUCGUUUCAUCUCCCUUUCCCUUCUAAAAAACGCAAAUUACGGUAACUACCCUGGUUGGCAUCGCAUGCACCGCGUUGAUUUUCACAUUGUUACACGAUCCGCGGCACUACUCGCCGUAUAAUCGUCGAAAUCCGAGCUCGUCGCGUGCGCGGAAAAGUUUGUCGAGUCGCGUUUCGAAAACUCGAGUUAAGGAAAGAAAGAGAAAAGAAAAAGCCGGUAAAGUGAUUUCUCGCCGACGACGGGGCUGUCCGCAUCUUUAUCGGGCCAAUGACAAUGGCGUGAUUUACGAUACGUAGAUUCAGAGUGUCGUGUGGAAGAAAUCGCAGGAACGUAUUUUUCGUAACGGUUGACAAAACACGUCGAGACCGAACGUUUCUCUUCCACUUGAGACGUUUGCGAAUAUCGCGAGUUUGCGCUCUUCACUUUUCUGAUUAACACGCGGCCGCGAAAAGAGUAAAGAAUCGUCUGCAAUGCGAUCGCGUCACGUAACGCGCCUUAAAAUUGUAAGGCGCUAGUCUGCGAAUCGAUCGUGUACUCGUUUCCUUCGCGCAAAUUUCGUGAUGCAAGUGAAAAGCUUCAUUAACGAGUUCGACGAAACUUUUCAUCUUCCACGAAAUUGCGCGAGGGAAAUAGGGAAACACGAUCGAUUAGCACAGAUUGCAUUGUACACGCGACACGAUAAAUUCGAGCGGUUUGAAUUCGAAAAAUUAUAUUAUUCACGGUUCGUCGCGACUCGAGGGUCAGCAUCCCCCUCACGUUUCAGAGCUAAAACACACGCAGCUUCCGAUCGAAUCGCUCGCUUACUUUGGUCAAACAGAAGAAGCGACACGGAGUGCCUCCUUUUGCGCUUGCACCGAUCGCUUUCGACGCAAUUAACUUCCGUAACGCGUGCCGGUGUGGAAAAAAAAGCGAAAGCAUACACACAAGAAAUAGAAUACAUGGACACAGAAUUUUGAAAGAAGAGAGCGCGCGCGCGAGAGCUCAUCUAAUUCCUAGUUUUUCUAACGAUGCACGACUGCCCGAGCGUAUUACGAAGCCAACGAAAAUCAUCUCCAUUUGACAAAGCUUUCCCCGCACGGUGGACGAUCGUGUCUAACAGCGACGAUCGUCGCGUAUUGUUCUUUGUUCGAAACCAAGUCUCUCUCUCUCUCUUUCUCUCUAUCACAUAUAUAUAUAUAUAUAUAUAUAUAUAUAUAUAUAUAUACAUACAUACAUAUUUGACCAGCUCUGUCGUUAUGGUUGCGGAGUCGCAGUUGACAUAGUGUUGAACUUAUUUGCAGUAGAAUAUUAUUAAUUUGACGGCUUAUAUACGACAUCCCACAUCCAUUAUUAUACGAUAUAUUGCCGAUAACCGCUGACUAUCCAGACCCAUCCACCCACUCACCCACCCCUUCUCGCCACCGCGGCCGCCCUCGUCAAUUUGGUUCGCUGGCGUGGAUCACCCGAGGACUCCUUUUUUUCCGUAGCUUUCCGUAGUGAGUGGAUGUGUGUGUUUCGGUCCAGUAAUUCACGCACGCGAACCAAGACCGACGGUGAGUCGGCUUUUGGCAGCACACUAACGCUUGGGUGAUGACACUGUAUUAUCAUCGCUGAUACACGGACCUUACGUCGUGUCAUUUUCGCUGUCGUCACCGUCGUCGUCGUCGCCGUCGUCGUCGUCGUCGUCGUCGUCGUUGUCGUCGUCGUCGUCGUCGUCGUCGUCGUCGUCGUCGUCGUGCCGUCGCCGCCGCCGCCGCCGUCGUCGUCGUCGCCGUCGUCAAACAGAAAUCGACGCUUCGGUCUAUUAAUCACACUUGUAUAAUCGACUUUUUUUCGAGUAACACCGAUAAUCACCCAAGCAAAACGAUCCCCCUUCUCCCGGGCCAUUAUCUGCAUGACCAGACUCUGUGUUCGUAGCGAAUUAUCUCUUACGCAAUUGCAAGAAUUGUUUAUCAUAAUAUGGUGAAUAUACAUUAUAUGAUUACGUCAUUUAUAUUAUUGGCGUUAUGAUUAUGAUUAUUACGAUUAUUAUGAUUACUAUUGAUUAUUAUUGUUGUCGCCAUUAAUGCUAUAUUAUGAGCGUUUACGUUCAAGGGAGAUUCUUACUUUUGUGUUAUCGAGAUAACUGAAUAUCAUAUCACGAUCGUUAUUACAUGCGAAUGCGCGGAACAAUCCUUCGCCGAGAUCGUCGCGAGUUAACACAUACGCAGCUAGACGACUUUGUUUUUUUAUUAUUAUCGUGCCUCGCGCUCCGUCGCGAUACAUUUUUCAUAUAUUUUGCACGCUUCUAUGGUGAGCCUAUGGUAUACUUUUUUUUUGCGCGCGAUAAUACUUUGUUUCUUUGAUUGAUAUAUAUGAUUUUUUUCGUUAAAUUUUUUUUUCCAUACAUCUGUCUGGUAGGUUGUUAAUGCUUUGACCUAACGUUUUGCUAACACGAAAACCAUUCUUUGGAAUUUGAUGUUUAAUCUAUUUUGCUGCAUUUGUCUCUCUUAUAUAUUUCGGAUAUACGAAUAAUUCUCCUAGAUACGAGUGUACGUGUGUGUUUCCGUGUGUGUGUACAUAUAAUAUGCAUACUUCUCUCUUGCCGAUGGGUUAAUACGAGAAAAAGAAAACGGACAAAGUAGCGCUGUAGCUGGGUGGAGUUUCCGCUUCACUUGGGUUCUCUAUUUGUAUUCUCUCUCGAUGGCCAAUGUUCUGCGACUCGCAUUCAUGUCUCUCUAUUUCAUUCGCAGUUUGUUAAAUGUGAAAUUGCACACAUAUAUAGAUAUAUGUAUCACGCGCGCGCGAAGUGCCAUUGGCCCGCUCACACGAGAAAAGCGGAUCCUCCAAUGCGAGAGAGAUUUUCUUGCCACCGCGAGGGGGUGAUACGUCCGGCGCGUCUAUUUCAUUCGCGCGAGCGCCGCGAAUAUAUGUGCGUACAUAUUAUAUAUAUACAUACACACAUCUACAUGUAAUUAUCGCUCUUAUCUCGCGAAACCGGUUAAUUACGUUUGCAAAUCCGAUCGUCCGGUGCGUCGUUCACGAUCGAAGACGAGGGCGACGGAGAGAAAAGAAGAGAGUUUCACCGAGGCUCCCGCCAGUUCUUUCCGUUGCUUUCCUGUAUUUUGUUAACACUAAAAUUUCGGUCUAGUCAUUGUAAUGAAUGGCCCGCUGAGAAGAGGGCUUCCAAACCUGAUUCGCAAAUUCUAGACGUGCCCGUUCGGAUACGUUGGUCGUUUUUUAAUGAGCGCGCGAGGGUACGCGAGAUUGUGAAAAGCGCGUGGGAGAAAGUUGGUUUGUUCGUGAGAACGUGCGGCAAUCGCUGUGCUGAAUAUUUUAUAGUAUUCGGAUCGUAGACUUUCGUGCGCGCGCGGCUCACUUCGCGCUACGGAUUGCUCGGAAAUGAGAAAUUUGCGAAUCAAAAAGAUCCUCGUUUCUACGUAGGCGCGCUCCUUGCACAACAGCGUGUCCGGAAUGUCGCGGAAACUAGCAUAACGAAAGUGUCACACACGCUCGCGAUUACGACUAUUAAUACGAAAAUCCCCCUCGAUUCUCUCGCCCAAUCAAACACCAACUUUUUUGCAAAAUCCCGGCAAACCGCACGACGUGUCCAUUCGAAAUACAGACAGCUAACACAAUCAGACGCGAGGCUCGCUCGCAGUCUCGCAAUCGGUCGGUUAUUUUUGGUUAAUUUUACACCACAAUAUAUACAUACCAUAAAUAGGAAAUGCCCUGUUUGUGAAAACGAAAGUUCUACUGCAAAUUUACCACCUAAUUAAGCAUGUGCGAGCACUCGGCGCAACUCGUCACGUUUCGUCACGGUCGAUUGGGGCUGCGACGUUAUUAACAGGGCGUCGUAAAAUCAUCAACCCCACCGUGCCGUCACGAAUAUAUGUGUAUAUCACUUGUAAUCGCGCCGAUUGUUCGCACAUAGAAGUAGCAAUUAAUUAAUAUCCAUAUACGAAACGAUCUUCUAGAGCAUGUAAUGUACCGUGAAUAUGCUCUAACACUGAAGAAUCUUGAGUGUGUAUGGUCGCGCGAAAGAGCCCGAUGAGUGGUGAGGAUGCUCGAGAGUUCAACCAAGUGCGUCCGAUAAUAAACGGCCGACGCAUCUUUAACCGGUUCAAUUGAGGUCGCGUCUCGCGACCCAGCGAGUUCGAGGAAGCUUCGCUGGCGAAGCAGUCGAGCGCUUACAAAUUCGGCCACUGGAUCUACUUUCGAGCAAACUCAAACGAGAGCGAGAUGGAAACGCGCGAGACACGGUCACACGUCCACUUACUGGACACCCUCCCGGUGUGCCAAGAUUUUAAUCGACAAGUGUGCAACCGUCCCGCCUGCAAGUUUAUCCAUCUCAGUGACGGAAACGUGGAGGUGAUCGAGAACCGCGUAACGGUGUGCAGGGACGCAGUAAAGGGCGCGUGCAUGCGGCCCCAGUGUAAAUAUUACCACAUACCGGUCGCGUUGCCGCCGGCGCCCCUGAUGGCGAUCGCGUCGUCUGCGACGCCUUAGGGUCGAUUCCGCCAGCGAUUAACGCGCCGGCGUCGCGCGGGGAGGCAGAAGGAUUCGAUAAAAGUUCGCGCGAGCACGCAUUCGCGCGCACGUCGGGAACUCGAUAUCGGCCACGACGGCGAGCAAAGCGAGAGCGACGGGGAAGAAGAGGAAGUCGAGGAAGAUGACGAAGAAGCGGAGGAAAAGGUGAAGGAGGAGACGGCGAACGUCGUCGUCGAUUCGAUAGUUUCAACAGCACGCCGCUAUGCCUCCGCGACACUCCUCUCCGGCGUACACGCUCGUAAUACACGAAUGUGCGAACGCACGUUCAGGUGACAGACGGAAAACAACGUGUCGUGGGAGGGUAGGGAGGAAGGAAAUAAGAUGGAAAUAGGGGGAAAACGGAGAGAGUUCCUGUCGCGCUUAGUCGGGACGGGGAAAGGAAGGAAACGCGUAUAGGGUCUCUCUCCCUAGGUUUUCCUUUCGUUUCAUCAGCGUGAGAUGGGUCGCGUAGAUCGCACGGCUGUGGAAAGACGAUCGCCGAGAUAGGCGGGGGAGAAGAUCUAACAAUAUACGGUGGAUCGUCGCGUUGGCGCGCAAAGGGGGUAGUAGUUGCCGAGAGAGUCGUCGUAAUACCCGCCACGAUCACACAGCGAGCUAGCAAGCGAAGUCUUCCUUAAGAAGUUAUCUUUUCGUUCUUUCGAUCUGCAUUUGGCUUCCCGCGACAAAUCGUCGCGAACAGGCGAAUCGCUCGAGACGAAUCGCUCGUCGAGCUCCGGGAGAACCUGGAGAGCCGCUCGACGCUCGGCGUCUCAACUUCCACGGAUUCCCUUCUCUCUCGUUGACCCGCUCGUGUCGCGCGCUGAGGGAUGUCGCCUGGACCGAAGGUUGCGAGAUACCGGCGGAAGGACGACGAGAGAUUCGUGAGCGGACGCGUCCUCGUCGUCGUCGGGACGAUCAUUCUUCUCGGCGAUCGAGCGGAUUGGCGAACGAUGACCCGCGAUUUAACGUCGAUUCGAGUUUCCAUAUGGCUACCUUGUCGGCGCGUCGAUGUCACUGAAGCUGUUCCGAGCUCCUCUCCCGAUCUCUUUAAGGCGAUCGGCGAAGCUUCCUCGAGAGCAGCCGAGUACAGAGAUGAAGGGAAGAUCUUUCAUUCUCGUGCGAUCCUGGACUUCUGUUUAUGUUGUCUCGAUGUCACGGAUGCAAUCGACUUCGUCUCACGAUCGGAAAGCGAGAGAGAACGCAGUGUCGCGUAUAUAGUUGUAGGACAACGCGACUUUUCGUCAUCAUCUCCGCUUCAGAAUUCAUUCUGUUUCGAGGAUUCGAUCGAUGAUAUUUACGAGAAACUUUAUGUCUCGACUCGUCCGUCGCUCGAGGAAGCUACGUUUCAUUUUCGUGUUCGCGGUUCUCUUCCCUUUCCCGAUUCGCUGUUUUGGCGCGUCCUCACUCGCCGUGACGCGCGGUGCUCGCGCAACGUAAAGUACGCUUGUGAAAGAGCCCGAAGAAAGCAAGGAAGAAAGCGAGAAAGAUAGAAAGAAAGAGAGUUACGAAAUAUUGUUCCAUAUAAGGACGUAUAAAUAUUAUACAUAAUACAUAUAUAUAUAUAUAUAUAUAUAUAUAUACUCAUGUCAGAUUCUGGCAUGAGAGAAGUUGUAAUUGUACCGAAUAAGUAGAUUAGCUAGGGGCCGCGAAUCAACGCGAGCGUACGAAUGACUGAUGGACGCUGAUUUUGAGGGAGAAAGAGAAACGUAAAAUACAAAAGCGUAAACGACGAUAAAUAUCACCGAGACGAGAUGAGAGAAGAAAUAAUUUACACGAGAUAUGAUUAUAAAACGCGCGGUGACGCAUAACGAACGUUUUUUAUACUCGUAUAUAACAAAUCUCAAUUAUAUUUUGUUUUUAUGAUAAUAAUGUAAACGCAUGUGUGUAUAUAUAUAUGAAAGAGAGGCGUGUAAUAUGUAUAUGCAUGCAUACGCAUGCAUAUAUAUGUAUAUAUAUGCAUGUAUAUGCAAGGGUAUAACGAUUUCGCGCGAAGGGGAGCAUAAUAGUUAUCGGCGGAUUGAUUGGCGACGAUUAGGCGAACGGAGCGGAGUAAUGGUCUCGGAAAUGGAACGCCGGAAUGUCAGGAACUGUUGGAGCGAUCGAUUUCUCUCGCGCGAGAGGAACGACGAGCCUUAGGACGAGGUUUACGGCGACUAUUUGACUCUCGACCGUCUCACUUUCGGUUCGCGAGAAAUGGGCGAACGCCGAAAAUCGUAUAGGCGCGCGGAAAGAGUGAAAUAGAGAAAGGCGCUAUUUAAUUACUAUACACACUACGACAAAUGUGUAUAUGACAAAUUUAUAUGCAUACGAUAAGAAAUUAUAUUUAACUAAGGACAGACCUCUUUUGGGGGAGUUGGGAGUAUAAACGAGAGCGAUCGCGAAAGGAGAUAUCGCGUGAUAUAAUACUUCUUCGGCCAAGAGAGAACCGCCGAGAAAGGAAGAGAGAGAGAGAGAAAAAGCGAGAGAGAGAGAGAGGGGGAAGGAGAGGGAGAGAGAAAGAGAGACGAAAGGAAUCGUUUUAUAUCUGCUCUUCGAAACAAACGAAAAACUAUAUAAAAGUGAAACAAUCGAUCCGCUGGAUCGCGUGUAUAGGUUUACACGAUCGAUAGGAAAUAAGUUUGUACGUUGUUUCAGUCUUAAAGUGCGAUUCUUCGUAAGGAUACUUUAAUUGUUGCGUUAAUGAUCUUUGAUUAAUCGAUAAUUAUUCGUUUUACCCCCGUGGUACAUGUCGCGUGAAGGACCCCCUCCAUCGAUCGAGUCUUUCGUCAUUAAAUGCAUUCUUCAUGCUAAUUCUUUCGUGCACGUCUGAUCGCGUCUUCGGAGUCUCCCACCGUCGAUCAGCGUCGAUUUCGCGUGCACUUCGGGCACACAUCCGCAUACGCGUUUCCGCCAUUUCUUUUUCACAUAGAUGAAAAUUCAAACGACACACGUUCACUCGCGUCCAGAAACAGAUGUUCCGAGCAAUAUUUUCUUACGAGUUAUAUAUACAUUAUAUACGCCGAAGAUAUAUUAACGUUAAGAUACACCCGCGGACCUGAUUUUCUCGGGGAUAUCUUCAAGGCUGGUUGUCCGCUCGAGAGAAUUCGUCCCCUUCUGUGGGAGUCGCUCUCAUGGAGGGUUCGCGGAGCCUCCGGGCUCGAGGGCCAGUCAGUGGGACCCUCGAUUUCACCGCAUAUGCAGACACACACGUGGCGAUUUUUGAAAGACACUUUUUACCGUCCAGGAGAGGGCUUACACCAACUUUCCCGACCAACGACACGAGAUAACGAUCUAUCGAGAAUUUUCGUACCGAAAUAUACACGCAUACAUAUAUAUAUAUAUAUAUAUAUAUAUAUAUAUAUAUAUAUAUAUAUAUUGCGAAAUGAAAAAUGCACUUUUGAACUAGUCAUGAUGAUGGGUCCGGGUCCUUUACGCACUCACACUUAUUAAGUUUCUUUUUUACUACACCAUUAAUGUAUCUCGUAUUUUACUCAUUUGCGUUUUAUUUUUAAAUUCAGUUAACACAUUGAUCGUUUUCAAAAUCGAUCACUUGGACGAUAGUAUAAUUAAUUAUUUAAACGAGAGAACCCUUAGGUAUAUAACAAAGUACUCUAACGACAAAAUAAGUAUAGCCUACGGAUAUAAAGUAAUAAAUAAUAAAAAAAAAAUAUUAAACGAGUGAUUAAAGGGUUAAGCAAGUAAAUGUUCCUGUACAGCAUUUAAGAAUCAAAGGACACUCUUAUCAAAGCAAAAGGAAAAUAAACACAGAUUAUACACCUUUGGUAUUAGAAGGGAAAGAUCCGAGGCUGCCAGUAGGCGCGAAUAGCUGGAAGUUCAACUUUGUAAAUUACUCGUGUAUAUAAAAAUAGUAUUAUUGCGUGAGAGAGAGGGAGUGAGAGAGGGGGAGAGAGAGAGAGGGAGAGAAAAAGUAACUCGAUUAGCGUAGAUACAGAAUAAACAAAGUACUGAGGAUUCUAGGAUCGCGUCAUCGAAUUCGAGUUCGUUAAACGAAUUCACGGACGAGCGGAAAAGAAGUGUUUUCACGCGCGUGUGUUACACACAGUGAACAAUUCGUUUUAUUAUGGACUAUAUAAAUAUAAAUUCGUUUUAUAAUUGACGUAUACAUUCGUCCUCCUUUGCGACGAAAGAAAUCUCUUAGAUCUUAGCGUUGACUAGAUUUUCAAGACUCGUUCGUUCGUCCGUUCUCUCCGUUUUUCCAAUGUGCUUUUUUCGAGACACCGUGGUUCUAGUCAUGAGUUCGGGAUCAUUUGACUUUUCGUUCUCGUCGACGUCGUCGCUUCUGAUAUCCGUGAAUCCGCGAUUCGCACGUUCGUAACUUCGCCCGCCUUUUCGUUCUCGGUACCGUUGGGUGCGCGCAAAACGAUACAAAAGAAAAACGCGUAAUUCACAAGAGGGAUAUACGUAGAAAAUUCAUCGAAAUGAAUUGGAAAAGACGUACGGACGAGUUCCUCCGUGUCCACAUACAUACACACACACACACACACACAUACACACACAUUUAGUAUAUACAUAGAUUUAAUUAGAUACGAAUAGGAAGAGAAAGGAGAAAGAAGAGAUACACACGCGUUAUAUUAUAUAUAAAAUUAAGUACAAUAAUCUAUGAAUGUCCAUUUAAGUGAUUCAAUGACACCACGAAGAGGAGAGCGAGAUAUUUUCAAUUGUGAUUCCACACUUAGAGUAUAUAAAUAUAUAUAUUCGAAUACUUUUCCGUAGAGAAAACCACCGGGGACCCGCGCCGCUCGUCCCCCGCGGUCAUUUCUUCUUCUUCUUCUUCGGUAUCGGUAUAUAAAAGAAAAAGAGAACAAGAGAAAAAGCUGUAACUAGAUCCGUUUAUUAUACACACUACGUCUUCGUACGGAAAGACACCAAGAGCAGGAACGACAUUCAGAUUCGUCCCACUCGCUGCCAGCCGCUCAGCCUGUUUAGACGAGCAAAGUCCUUCGAGAAGUUAUCGAUAACUCCUCCUUUCGUGUCGUCUCGCGAUGGUACGGUUCGUUAAAGCUCAGGUACGCCCUGAUCCCGACGCGCUCGAGAACGAGAGAAACGACCGGGAUGCCUUCGGCUUAUUUUCGAACGGAUUUUCCUCUCCGAUAUCGCUAUAUAAACGAUGAAUUAGUUUUAGGUGAUGAGAAAAAAAAACACACAAAACGGUCACAUACAGACAGCGCAUCUAAUGAGAGCGAAAUCGACGUCGGACAGUACUACCCGUCUUUCCCUUUAAUACCAAAACCUCUAGUAAAUACACGACGCGUAAACGAAUAUUAUAAUUAACGAUAAUUAUUGCGAAUAAAAAAAAAUGAAAAACGGACAAAAGCAAAGGAAGGAACGAAGCGCUACUCCGACUCAUGGACGUAAAUAUACCACGAGAGCCAUUCUAAAAAAAAGUGAAAACUCUAAAAAUGAAGAAAAAAGGAAAGAAAGAUACACAAAAGAUAAAAAGGAAAAAAAAAGAAAACGGAAGACAAUGAGAACACGACGGAAACGUUAUGACGAAUCCACUGGAGUUUGAGCUUCCCAACUUGAGUCAAGGGUUUUAGCUGCUGCAGCAAGCAAUCACAAAGCAAAACAAUUAUUUGUAAUCAACGUAGGAAAACGCGCCCGGCCGAAUUCAACGCCGCCGUAGCCAUCGGCCGUUUCCUCGCGACCUCGCGAGAAAAUCGACGAGAGACGUUUUUCGCAUUUAUUAGCGCGCGCGCGCGCGGCCGGCGUCGAAUUCGGCGGGUGAUUUAUAUACGCUGCCGCUUAAAAACGGAACGCUGCUUCGCAUGGCCAACGAUUGCCCGCCGGAUCGCAUGAGAAACGCGACUACUCGCAGAUCAAAAGCUGUCAUACUUUGUCCGGACGUUAAUUCUCAACCGGACUGCCGUUCGUGAGCGUCAAGUGUGCGUACACGUUGCUUCGCGAAUGUUGCGAAGUCGUCUCUUCGCGUCCCGAACACGUUCCAUGCCUGUAUGCGCAGCAACGCAAACGAAUAAGUCCCUCGAGCACGAUCUCCUAAGAGCUGCGUGAACAAAUCAAACAAAGAAGAAGACGAAAAACGGUCGGUCCUUUUCUCAUGCGUUCUGUCGCUCGUUGGCCGGAUAUGCUCGUGUGUACCUACCUAGCUUCUUGCGCGCUACGCAUUUUUGACUCUGCUAGGAGAAGGAAAUGCAAAUGAGAAGGAGGGCGAGAGAGAGAGAGAGAGAGAGAGAGAAAGAGAAGAUAGUUGAUUAGAGAUCGGAGGGAGAGAUAGGGGGGAAGUAUAGAACGAUGAAUCGCGAAGCGCGUUUUCGCUCCGCGGAGAAACCGGUCGGCGCGUCCGACUUAUGGUGGUGAUAGACGCGAUUACUCGAACGAAAGAGGGAACGAAUGCCCGAACGAGCGCUCGCUACGUUUCGGCGAUUAAUCCGCUUAAUCGGAUUGCACGAUUACGCCGGCUGCGUGUCCGAAAUUACGUGCACGGAGUUCCGACGGGAUUUACGGGGAUAUUAUUCGUAAAUUCAGCCGAUCGCCGUCGGACCGUGAAACGUUUGGAGAAAACAUCGAAGCGGAAGACAGAGAGCGAGCGGAGCGGAGGUAUUUUCUCGAGGCAUUUCACUCGCGAUACUCGCGCGAAUGCGUUUCGGGGGAAACGUCGAAUUUCAGACGAAAAAUUUAAACGCGUUUCAACGGCGUCGCAACGAGCGUCCCAUUUCGGUACGGUGGACAAAGGAAUUCACAGGAGACUGAUCGGAAAGGGGGAGAUGUCUUUUUAUCUGUACCUCCCUUCUCGUUCAACAUAUAAUAAUUGAGAUAUUCAAUAUUAGUGCGCGGGAAACUAUCGGAGAACUCGAUAUUCCGAUGCGAUGUAGCGGGUGGAAUGCUCAGAGAUAAUAUCCGAGACGCAUGGAAUAGCGACGUAUUAAACGGUCUCGGGGGAUGAAGUCGUACAAGACACAGGAGAGACGUGAGGAUAUACAGACCGUCCACGCUAGGAACAGACUUGAUCGCCACUUGAAAACGGGAAAAAAACCGAAUUCCGCGCAAAUAGUUUUCUAUCGAGGUGUCGCUCAUAUUUGAGAGAUUUAUCGCGCGGCUGAAAGGGAUGCGAUUUUCGAGACUGCAAUGUCAGGCGUCUAUCGAGUAAUUUUUUGAGAAACGAGAAAUAAAUUCGAGAUGAUGGAGAUCUGUUUUGAAUAUGAGCGACGCUUGAACUACAUGUAAGGCACAAUCGAUGACACGACGGGCUUUGGUUGUAGAUUCGCGAUCGUAUGAUCAGGCAAAAGUAUCUGUAGCGCCGGUGACGGUGUACAUACGUGUCUCACUUUAGGUAUAGUAGGUACAACAGAACGAAUAUGUACAAAGAUACAUAUACACGCAUAUAUUUUUGAGUUUUAUUCUACGGCGAAUCGCGUGAGCGUGUCGGCCGUGACACGAUGAUAUUUAGACGAAGGCGGGCGAGUUCCUUGGUGGUAUUAUACAGUUCGAACGGCACGGUUAUCCGGGCGACGUCCCAUUGUGCGGGACGUGAAAGGUCCCGCGUAAAAUCGAGAUCGUCGCGGAAGUGCGAUCGGGUUUCUCCGCGGAGUCCUUGAGACUUCGUGCGCGGGGUGUUUCCCUGGUUGUGGUGCGUAAUGACUCUCGCGAGUAGCGAGAGAAGAGCUGCAAAACGGAAAAUAAACAAAAAGACCUCGCGCGGGUGAGAGAAGCGAAGAGGAAGAGAGUUUAGCACGGUGGAAGGAAACGGGAACGAGAUGAAUUUUGUGGAACACGUGGAAAGCGACCGGACGUGCUGUUUCACGUACACGUAGGUGCACGUGUGCUUUGCGUGUACGCGAACACACGUUUCGCGAUUGAGCAAUCGCUCCCUCGAUGCUGUACGCGAUUCUUCACAAGAGAGUUCCUUUUAUAUAUUCAAAGUACUACUAUAUAUAUAUAUAUAUACAUAUAUAUAACAUAUAUAAAUAUAUAUACAUAUACCUACGCAGACUUUUUUCCCCCCGAACACACGUGGGCGAUUUUCCUCCAGCUGGCACGAAAAAAAAAUCUAACGCGAUAGGAAAGAGCGGGAAGCAAAAAGAGGGGGAAAUAACACAUUUCGUUUGGGAAACCCGCGGCGACCGGGUACGUGUCAUCCUACCCCGCCGCGCGUUACGUUGUUACAUGUCGCGCAACGGUAUUUACCGAGGUUCGCCAAUGACGGAGGAAUGCCCCGAUUAACUUGACACCCUGCGAACAUAAAUGGGAAAUUGUCUAGGUAAAAAAGAACAAAAAAUGAAAAAAAGCACGAAAAAAACAUUUAAGCGAUCUUCUAGAUAAAGAGCCUUGACAUUGGUAGUUCGAUGUUGAUGGAUAUUAACUUUUUGACUAAGCUAACGAAGAUUAUAGUAUUUUUGAAUUAGGUUAUUAACACCUAGCGGUACAUUGUAGCCCGCCACUUAGAAUGAGAGUUUUACUGAACAAACUAAUUGCAUGUUGAUGUAUCAGCCUAAGCUUAAUAGCUCUAGUAGAUUAGUGACCAUUGCUGCUACUACCGGGUCGGUCCCUUUGCGGGAAUUAAUUCUCCCUGCGAUUCCUUUCGAUUCGCCGCGAUAGGAGACCUCGAGAGAUAGAGAGAGAGACAGAGAGGGAGAGAGAGAGAGAGAGAGAGAGAGAGAGAAAGAGAGCAGUCCGAGCCGCGGACGUUCUCGCGCUGCCGUUUCGUUACUUCAUUUCCGCUUUUCGUGCCCUCCCUUCGGCUUCUACCUUUUAUCCCGCCAUUUCCCUGAGCGAGAGACAGAGAGUGCGGGAGUGCGAGAGUACGAGAAAAGAGAGAAAAGAAAGAAGGAUUUAAUCUCGCGCCAGUAACGCUUAGUGUCUAUACAAUAUUAUACACAAGAACUACUAUGACAAUUCCUUUUUUCUUCAUCUUCUUAGAUGAAGUAGAGUGUUAGAGGUGUGAAAAUACCGGGAGAACAAAUCGCUUCUUUCGAGCUCUCGCAACGUACCCACUUUCCAGGAGGCACGCUCUCAAAAAAUACUCCAUCUCGCUGGUGACACACAGAGAUCUUAUAGUCAGAAAAUACCCGCUUUGGAGAAAAAAAAACGUUCAUAUGCACCUUCGGCCUGAAGAAAAGUGUCCCAAGUGUUCCCUGCCCGCCCCUGCCCACCCCAAACCCUGUGCCCGUGUCCGAACUUCCUCUGUACUCGAAUACUCCGUUUUGUCCGAUCACGUAAGUGUGAGUCUACUACUGGUUAACUUUAAAUACUAGUUGGUAUAGUGAAUAUACGUAUUACUUACGGCUUGUGCGAGACACUGUAUAAUUGCACUUUAAUCGACGAUUUUCAAGUAUAACGUGUUAGAGAGUAGCACACAACAGAGGAGUUCGUUUCGUCCGGGUCCGAUACUUAACUAUUACGGAUCCGAGCUCACUCCCUCAUUAUCUUCGAGUGGUCAUCUCCGUGUUGAAAUCGAUUAAUAUCGAGCGUGUUUCUUCCCCGCUUGUGUGUGAGCUUUGCGCCUCUUGCGAUACGCUUCUUAGACCCUCAACCUCACGCCCACACCAUUCCACAUAUACAUACAUACAUACAUACAUAAAUAAAUAUAGCUAUAUACACACAUAUAUAUAUACAUAUGUUACACACGUGUUCGUAUAAUUAUAAAAGUAUAUGCACACGUAUACACGUAGUUUCAGACAGCGCGUUUUAACCCAUCCACAAGUAGAAUAAUUCGCACGUUCCCCAGUGCCACGCUAAUAAUAAUUGUAUGCACAUAGCGAACAUCUCCUAUUAACGCGCGUAGCGAAAAAUCGAGCCGCUUAACAGAUGACGAGUCGUCAGCGUUGCCUAUUUACCGCAUUUUCUUCCGUGUCACGUGAUGGUUCUUGCCGUCGAUUUAAAUGCGAAUCUGUCGUAGCACCGGUCUCAAAUUAAGCUCCUAUUUUAUGUAUAUCUUUAUAGAAAUGAAGAGACGGAAGUUUGGUAUCCUUUUACUUCGUUUAGAUCUACAGAAAAAUUCGGUGCUAAGAUGCCCGAAUUAUAGAUAUGGAUUAGUUGCCGAGAGAAGAAAUAAUCCAUAUUUAUCGCGGAGUUUCGAUUGCAUUUUUACGUGGAGAGGCGAUAUCCUAUUUUAAUGUGAAAUCUUUUUUUUUCUCUUUUCGAAAAAUCGACGGUGAUAACCACCAUUGUUGCUCGAUCAGCGUUGCCGUUCGAGCAUAUCUUUCUUUGUUAUGACACAUUCUUCCCCGUCGAGCGUUCUCCCCGACAUUGUGAUGUUGAGACACACUUUUGUUCGCAAUAUUAGUUCCCGCUGCCUUUAUCCGCAGAAAAGAGAAAAGCGAUUCGAUGUUGUAUCUUACUUUACAUCCGAUGAAGAAUGGCUUGAUCUCUAAUCCCCUGCCCGCGCCGUCAUGCCCCUCUGAACAUAAUAACACGGUCGCCCCCCUUGACUACAAGUUUUCGAGAACAAAAGAAAACAUAAAAAAAAAAAAAUCAACAGUGAACAAACGCGUGAAGCCUAAAUUGAAACUAAUCUAUCGGGAAUCUACGAGAUUAAAGAAUAAAGAAAAAAAAAAGUAAAAUCACGUAAUAUGUAAGGUCAUGAAUUUAUAAAGAUAUUUACACUUUAAGAAUAAAGAGAAUCUUCUGUGGCAGCAUAAUAUACGGAAAAUUACUAGUUCGACACUUAAACUAACCGUACGUUGGGGACGAGGACGAAGGAUUUUCUGGAUACCUAGACGCAAGGGUAGUGUCCCGACGAUCCUUCGGGUCGCUGCGUCUUCCGACAGUGAUGUAACUAUUAACAUGUAAUCCCUUAACGUUAUAUUUUUCCGGUGGUAGCUCCCGCGUUGGCGCUGAACGCCGCGUUUCUCGCGUUUUCCGUUCACCGCGAGCGACGACAGCGAGCGUCACGUUCAGCGAGAAUCCGAGAGCUGCACUAGCCGCCGGCAGUUUGUGAUAUAUUUAGUGAAACAAAUUAAAAAAAUGGUUGUUAUUCAAAUUAAAAAAAAGAGAAGAAAAGAGAAAGAGAGAGAAAGAGACAGAGACAGAGAAAAGGAGAGAAAGAGAGAGAGAGAGAAAAAGAGAGAAGAGAAGCGCCUAGCGGUUUUACAUCCACACACUUACACACCAAAAGGAUUUGGUAGUAUGACUGCGCGCGCUGCUGAGAACGAACCGACGCGCAUAACGCUGAAGAUAAAUCUCAUAGGGCAUUCCGUGGUAGAUAAUAAGCGUUGCCUUCCACAAGGUCUUUUGUGGUCUCCGCAGUUUUGAAGAACGCACGAGACAAACAGUCGAUUGACGUGAGAGAGCGAGAUGAAAAGGCGAAAACGACGGGAAUUGAAGGCGAUAUUUUAGUAGCGGUACGAAUCGAUCUUUCUUCAUUUCGAUUAUGGUGCCUUAAAGUUAUGAAAGCAGAGAGAGAGAGAGAGAGGAAGAGAGCUACAGAGAAGGAGAGAGGAAGAGAUAGAGAAAGAAAUCCGAGAGUAAAGUCUUCAAGAAGCAACUAUAUACCUUGUCUACUUGACUAAGUCUACUUAAUAAGCGUUUUACAAAUCUUCGUUUUUGAAUUCUUUCUGCUUUUUGGAUUCUAAGGCUUCGCGAAUUAGACCGACAAGAACGUCACGUUUGAGUUGGAGCCACGCCGCUUAUAAGAUGACGCCUUCGGUCGAUCGGUAUACUUGUUGACGAUGAAAUUGACGGGCGGACGGUAAAAGUGAGUUUCAUUGAAGAGAUAACGAGCACACCGUCGUCGGUCUACCGGCAUUGAGCGUUAUUUGUUACAUUAUCCGACGAUUUUAUAUAUACAAUAUAUCGAGCCAGAGAGUCGCGUUUCUAUCCAUUGCGAGAUAUAAUUUUUUUACAACGGAUUCACACACGCGCCAGAUCGAACCACCGUCUCUUACAUCGUCGGCCUCCUCUCAGCAGCGUCGAGCGCCGUGUAUAACUAACUGUAAAUUUUAGGUAUUACCGCGCGUAUAAUAGGAAAACAAAAAAAAAAAGCGAUAAGUGAGAAUGUGAGGCGAAACUAUCGUGGAGGAGAGGAGGAAUAAGAAGAGAAACAAAAAUGAUAAUACACAUAACAACACACACUAUAUAUUGUAAUAUUAUUUUUCGAACAUAGUAAUGUAAUGUAGAAUAUAUAAUAUAUAUAUAUUAUAUAUAUAUUAUAAAUAUAUAUAUAUUAUCGUAUCUCGUAACGCGAUCAUUUCGUAUAGCGCUAGGCUGGACGAGGUGUUUACGGAGGUUUAAGAGAAUUAAUUAAGGUGGGCCAGAUAUAAGAGCAGCGGGCGGGCGUGCCGAGCGGCGCGAGGUAACACCGAUAUUUUUACCAAGUUUUUCGAAUAUUGAGUCCCCCACGAUUCCUAUAACGAGAACUUAAAUGUAUCCUCGCGCCACUGCCGCCUCCGCGCCAUUUAUUAGCGUGUACCCGCCGGCCAGUGGUCGAGGUUCAGCACGAGCUCGCGUCGCUCUCCGGUUGCGAACUCAGUAGCGGACGACGUGCGAAUAACGACGAUGCGAGCGAUCGCAAAAGUUUUGUCGCGUACGUGCGUGCAUGUACGCGUGUUUAAAGCACUGCAUGCGCAGAGCGCGAGACGUUCGUAAGAGUUGUGCGACACAAUCGUUCCUUCGUUUCUUCUCUCGUUUCGAGAUGCUCCGAUUGCUUGAUUUCGAAACCAAGCUUGCGUGUGUGCCGGUUGUUCCCGUCCCGUAACGAAGUACAAUUAAGCGACACUGUCGGAACAGAAAAUAACGAACGAAGCGCAUCCGUUGCUGUCCAAAUGCUUCUGAAUCGUCGACGACUGGCCCGUGGUGAAUUUUCAAUUAGUCGCGUCGGGGAUCGAAGCGGACAGGAUAACCCGACGAAUCGGUGAUAAGGCCGAGGAGAUGGGCGUCGGGACGCAACGUCCCGUCACGUCACGUCUCGUCUCGUCUCGUUUCACGACGCGACGCGUGCGUAUCUUUAAUUUUUCAUUGUCCGCAGAGGGACGAAGAAUCGAGCAGAGAAAGAGGCGUGUACAGUGGGAAACGGUUGGUUACUGUAAUGCGAGUAAGUGGAGAAAAGGAAAGUCGAAACCCCACUCCCCCCCGUUCCCUCCCGCCAUCCUCUCCCUUUUCAUCUCCUAAUUUUGAACCCGUCAUUUUUAGGAACUCCUCGAAUGUCGGCCCAAAAUGGACAACAUGAAGCGUGACGUUUUCUGACGGCGAGAAAACGUAUGUGUAAAUUUGGCGACGACUCGUGUAAUACGUAAAAAAAAAUAGAAAGAAAGAGAGAGAAAGAGAGAGAGAGAGAGAGAGAGAGAGAGAGAGAGAGAGAGAGAGAGAGAAAGAGAGAGAAAGAGAGAAGGAAAGAGAGAAAGACGGUAAAAACGAAAAAAGAAAAGAGAAGAUUUACUGAUGCGUUGUAUUUUUAAUAUACUUGUCGAAUAUUAUUGGUUGUCGGAUACAUAUAUAUGCGCCGAUCGAAAUUCGGAACUUAACGACGAGUUGCGGCUAAGAGAUGUAGACCUCUUCCUUUCGUUUUGUUUUUAUAUGCAGUUGUUAUUCGAUGUUUUGUUGUACGAAUAUGCUGGCAUGUUGAAUCGUGGAUGAGAACCAAGAGUCGCGAAGCUGGACAUAUCUAUUUUUUGCGAGGCGCAAUCCGCUCGUUACGUUCGUUCAAGUCUCGCGAUCCGGUUCAUGUGACGACCGGCGCGCAUCGGCCUACCGGCUCGUGGACAUCCACUUGUGGUGUCCGUCUCCGUUCCUGCGAGCGGGUUUCUCGACCGUGGCCAAUUCAACGUGACCUAACGCGUAAACCCGGAGCACAACGCGGACGACAGACCGUCGUGCAAUGCCGAUUUCGUCGAUUCAGCGCCACGAGCAGAUUGCGCGUCACUCUUAAUAGAGAAGAUGAAGUAACUAUACGGAUUAGGGGAAAAUUAACAUUGUGAUGUUCAUUGAUCAAAUAUGUCAAAAGAAGAAGGCCCACUGGUUGAGGCCCGACAUUUCUGAGUACACUAUAAAUAAUAAACAUUAUGUAAAAUUUAUUGAAA